rnacentral:rRNA from 1 species
GAUGAACGCUGGCGGCGUGCCUAAUACACGCAAGUCGAGCGAACAGACGAGGCGCUUGCUCCUCUGACGUUAGCGGCGGACGGGUGAGUAACACGUGGAUAACCUACCUAUAAGACUGGGAUAACUUCGGGAAACCGGAGCUAAUACCGGAUAAUAUAUUGAACCGCAUGGUUCAAUAGUGAAAGACGGUUUUGCUGUCACUUAUAGAUGGAUCCGCGCGGCAUUAGCUGGUUGGUAAGGUAACGGCUUAUCAAGGCGACGAUGCGUAGCCGACCUGAGAGGGGGGUAGGCGACAUUGGAGCGGAGACACGGUCCAGACUCCUGCGGGAGGCAGCAGUAGGGAAUCUUCCGCAGUGGGCGAAAGCCUGACGGAGCAACGCCGCGUGAGUGAUAGAGGUCUUCGGAUCGUAAAACUCUGUUAUUAGGGAAGAACAAAUGUGUAAGUAACUAUGCACGGCUUGACGGUACCUGAUCAGAAAGCCACGGCUAACUACGUG